rnacentral:rRNA from 1 species
CCCUUAGAUGUUCUGGGCCGCACGCGUGCUACACUGAGUGGAUCAGCGGGUCAGGUUGCGCGAAAGCGUUUCCUAAUCUUGAAAUCCGCUCGUGAUGGGGAUUGACGGUUGCAAUUUUCUGUCAUGAACGAGGAAUACCUUGUAAGCGCGAGUCAUCAUCCCGCGCUGAAUACGUCCCUGCCCUUUGUGCACACCGCCCGUCGCUCCUACCGAUUGAGUGGUCCGGUGAGGCUUUGGGAUCUGAGCGGAAAGAGCGUUUCGCUCGUUCUGCCCGGAAAACUCAGUCGAACCUUAUCAUUUAGAGGAAGGAGAAGUCGUAACA